ensembl:snRNA U6atac minor spliceosomal RNA
AUGCUUUUGUUCAGGAGAGAAGGUUAGCAGUCCCCUUGGCAAGGAUGGAAAAGGCCCUUUGGGCCUUACAACAUGCAUGCGGUUGAGGCAUUGCCACCUACUUUGUGGUGUCUAACUACAGUUUGGA